rnacentral:tRNA from 1 species
GGUUCCGUGAUGUAGUGGUUAUCACGUCUGCCUUCCACGUAGAAGGUCACCGGUUCGACCCCGGCCAGAACCA